AUUUGUUUCUAGGUUUCGAACAGAUAUUUUUUAGAUAUAUUUAAUAGAUUUAUGAUAGAUAUAUAAGGUAAAUCGAAUUGUCCUUUUUUAUUUAAUGGAUUUAUCAUUGUCUUAGAUCCGCUGUGUCAUUAAGUAUGCAUGGCCAAGCUGCUUAACCGCUCAGAAUCAACUGAAGUUAUUUGUUUUAUUAUCCGCCAGUGAGCUAAUUACAAGUUUCGUAGGUGAUUUGACUUGUUUACUUGUCUGUCCAGAACGAAUAAGCAAGUUUUUACUUAAUUCCAAAAUGAAUCCGUGGAAGUUGUAGUUCGAAAGCGAGGUUGAUCUAUCUCUUUCUCGUUUAAAUUGCCAAUCUAAUGAAUCCCUUCUCCUUUCCAAUCCAUCUCCUCCACCACCAAGGCUGAUCUAUCUAUCUACUUCUCCUUUGAAUUCUCAAUCCAAGGCCUAAUGAUAUAGUUCCUCCACCAACACCAAUCCAAUUAGGUGGGCGUAAUGAAUUCGUUUCUUUCCGCCACCAACACGAAUCCAGUUAGGUAGGCCGCCUCUUUUUUCCGAUUCAGUUCCUCCACCAAAGCAAAACCCAUUAGGUAGGCAUAAGGAAUCUCUCUUUUCUCCAAUCCAGUUCCUCCACCAACGUGAACCCGCUGGAUCUGCAGUUUGAAAAGAAGACUCUAGCUUUAACCCUUGCCUAAGAUGAAAUGUAAGACUCAGCUCGUCUUCCCUACAACUGACUCGGCGGCUACUUGUCAUGAUUCACGAAGAUAUUGUCUUUAGACUGGAGUCUCCAGCUUCCAACAUCCCCCCAGACCUCUUUUGUCCGGGCAUAUCAUGCAGGAAGAGACAAGCGGAACCUUUAAGGCAUCCCUUAGGUCUAUUGAAGAAAGCACAAGGCGUCUGGCAACGCUGAUUUGGGUUUUGGUUGUUUAACAAACCUGGUCCUCGUGUAUUACCACGAGGAUUGAUACUUUGUAAGCGUUCAUCAACCACAGAUUCAUAAUUUUGUCCAUGUUGCUUGAUCAGGGACUUGUAGUAAUUGAUAUCCUUGUGAAGAGGGGCAGGACUAGUCAUCGAGGAUAAAGGGGAUGUAUGGACAGAAUUUAGUGAUACCGGCAGCUCAGGCUGCAAGGUGGUAGGACGGUGUGCACUUGACAAAACGACAUCAUAUUUGGAACGAGAUGAAGGAACCAACUCAGAAUUAGCCAAGGGCUUACCUCCUACAUUGUUGGGUGCUCCAUAUUCGUUAAUUAGUUUUUUAAUCUUUUCCAGAUUUAGGUCUGAAGUAGGAUGAACUAGUGGCUUACUCCCUCUAAUGUUUGCAAUUCCUGCAUGAGGGAGGCCCUGUUCAUUAGCCAAAUUACUUUUCACAAAUGUUUCAGGCUUAGUCAUCAUCAACGGCACAGAUUUUGCCAUUGGCUUUGGCCCAAAAAUUGGUCCAGAUCCUGUAUGGGGAACUUGGUAUUCAUUAAUUGGCUUGUUAAUUACCUUAUCGGGUUUAGAGUCUGUAGCCAGUCCACGUGCACUCAUCAACUUUUGUAAUUCUUCUGGUUUCAGCAGAAGCUUCACCAGUAAGUCUGUGUCAAUAAGGCUACUCUGCUCUUGAGUAUUCGCCAGUGCAGCUACAGCAACAGCGACAGUCAAAUCACCGUCGAAAUCAGGGAUGCUGGGAUUUUCACAUUGGGGAAAUUGGGUGACAGGGUUAUGAUUAGCAGGUGGCUUACCAGAAACUUGAGACUUUACCUGGGAAGUAUUCCAGUUUUUACCUACUGUUUGAUACUUGGGUGCAUGGUUUUCAUUAGCUGGUUGGUCUGGAAAAAUUUUAGUCUGAUUUGGAUUUUCACAUGUGGAGGGAGAUUGGGUGACAAGGUUGCGAUUAGCAGGUGGCUUUCCAGAAACUAGAGACAUUUUCUGGGAAAUUUCCUGGCUUUCACCCAAUGUUUGAUAUUUGGGCGCAUGUUUUUGAUUAGCUGGUUGGUCUGGAAAAAUUUCAGUCUGGUCUGGAUUUUUACAUGUGGAGGGAAAUUGGGUGACAGGGUUGUAAUUAGCAGGUAGCUUUCCAGAAACUUGAGACUUUUUCUGGGAAAUUUCCUGGCUUUCACCUACUGUUCGAUACUUGGGCACAAGGUUUUGAUUAGCUGGUUGGACUGGAAAAAUUUCAGUCUGGUCUGGAGUGCUGAGAUUUUUAAAUGUCGAUCUACACUGGGAAACAGAAUUGUAACUAACAGGUGGUUUAGGAGAGACUUGAGUAUCAGAAGAUCCCUCCAGAUUUGGACAUUUUGAAAGAUAUGGAGAAGCAGAUUGCACAUUAUAAGGCCAUCUUACAGAAAAAGGAGAGUUGCUUGGAAGUUUCUUGGGAUUUGGGAAGGUUGACAAAGACUGGGGAACCGAUUUUCCAUUAUCAGGUAGCUUUUGAGAAGUAACUAUACUGACAGAUGAUGAUGGACUGUUGGGUAGACACGCACCUGGCGAUUUGCUGCUUAUGGUUUGGGGUGGUGUUAAAUGGAAUGGAGCUUCUACAUCUGCUUCUUCAAUGGGAGUGAUUCGAAUCACUGGAGUUUGGUUAUCAUCAUAAUAUUGCUUCAGAUCCGACGAGAUGUAAGGACUAUACGCCAAUAGGAGAAACAAGGGAUUAAAACCAAGUAAAUGAGACAAAGAAGCUCUAAACUAGAAAGACAUAGUCCAAAAAUUACAUACUUCGGAGGAAUUGUAGACCAAGAAGGAUAAACCACCUCAGAAACUCUCUUUUCCCUAUGCUCCUGAUCCUCUGCUUCUUUACUUUCUUCACCAGCAACCACACGCCACUCCGCAUCCAAAUUAAACUACCAAUAACAACAUUAAAUGGGCUAUUAUGACAAUGUGUCAAGAAACUACGCAUAUAAAGGCACCUCCUAUCAUCUAAAACUUAGCUUACCUUGGGAGGGCAUUUCCAUUUAGCCAGAGAUAGGUAUGAAAGCUUCUCUUUUGACUGCUUCAGACAUUGUCUUCCUUCAGAUGAUUUUCUAAUAAUACUCGGAGGCGUCCUCUUUAACUGAAGAUGAUGUUGAGAUCCCCAACCGACUUUUGAUGGACAAUCCUCUUCUAGAAAAAGUUUUACCUGUGCAUGGUAAAAUAUGCAAACUUGCUAAAGGCAAAAUUGGGAAAAAAAACUAAUGCAUGUCAAUGUUCUUGAUAAGUAAAACUGAAAGCAUGCCAAUUUGACAUGUUCUUUACACUACACACUUAAAAUAUCUCCUUGGAAAAAACUAUACAGUAACAGCCCAAAAUCACUUCUCUUCAUGUCCGCUCUACCUUCAAAAGUGGGGAACAAUUGUCAAGUAGUAAUAAAUAACUCAACAUUUAGCUGCCUCUGUGGUGUACUGCUAUGAUCCUCAAAAGCUCAAUUAGCAAAUCAGAUGCAACCAAAAACCACCAAGUGUGAUCCUUGGAUGCACUUUUACAAAACAGGGGCGCUUUUUAAAAAAAUAGUAACCACGACAUCGGCCGAUUAGAACAGAGAUAAUCAUUUAAAAAAAAAAAAAAACUAGUUAGUGAACGAUGACAUGCAUCACAUCACAAUCACCAUUUUUUGGUUCAGCAUGAUCUGCUGAUCUUGAAAUGUCUUAACUACAGGAAAGAUGAGAUAUUGAAUAAGUGAUUUGAUAAGAUAAGAAACACAAAACAUUUUCCUGCUCUUGAAUCUGCAGUUGGACCACUAGUAGAAUCUCGACAUAUUGUUUUUGUGAACUUGAUUCUCCUAACCUGCCACUAAUAUUGUUUUUUAGUUCUCUUCUUUUUCAAGGAACACUGACUGGCUAUAUAUGUAAAUAUCAGCAUGAAGGCAGUGCUGCAGCCAAAUCUACAGUUCGAAAAGGAAAGCAAAAGUGAGUCCUUGAUGAUCUUACAAGGAUUCCGUAAAAUCAAAAACUUAGACUAAGGUACUGAUUACCAAUAAUAUUUCAAUUUUGACUGUAUAAAUCUGUCAUAAAUUUCAUAAUUACCUUGUAAUAUGGUCUUAUGUGGGGAACAUAGAGUUUAAAACUAUCAAAGCAAGGUUGAAUAUGACAAUUUCCAUGGAAAUGCCAUAAUUUCAAAGAAUCUUCAUCCCAAUUUGUUUUCCUUUUUGAUUUAGCAUGAGUAAGAUGGAGUUUAAAAGUGCAAUUAACAGUAAGAAACAUGCAUGGAAUUAGCAACUAAAAAUUUCAAAGGAAAGUUGAAUAUCACUACAUUGUAAUGGAAAUGCCAAAACUUCAAAGAACCUUCAUCCCAAUUUGUUUUCCUUUUUUGAUUUAGCAUGACUAGUAUAUGUACUUUAGAUUGCGAUGUCUUAUUCAAGCAUGUUAAAUCAUAUUACCUUAAAAAGUUCAACUAUCAUAUUAUUUCUCAAUAAAGUCACCUUAAGAUGAUGGUGAAGAAAUGAAAGAUUCUAGAUACCACAGACAAGACAAAGGAAAACCAUUGGUAACCUUCAUGAUGAAAUGGUGAAGAAACGAAAGACUCUAGAUACCAGAAACAAGACAAAGGAAAGCCAUUGGUAACCUUCAUGAUGAAAUGGGUAUAUAAUUACCAUAAAGUGCUUGUACGAAAAUCACACGUUCAUUAUGAGUUAUAGAUAUGAUAUUCUGCAUCGAGGUUGAAAGUAUUAUCUAGUAGUCAAGGAUUUAAUAGUCAACUUGGAUAAACCUUUACAACUUUGGAACGUGUGUGAUUUGAGUUAAAUUUAAGUGUUGGCUGAAAAUGAGAAAGUACGAUCAUACAUUGAACUAAAUGGAUCAAACUAAAGUAGACAUGUGUAUGUAAUUUGUAUGUUCUUUCUUCUUUUCUUUCGCCGGAAAUUUGUCCCAAGAUUUUAAUUUUAUUCCAUUGUAUAGAGGAUCCAUAGAUAGUUGUGUUAGGUCACAAUAAUGGGAAUGCACGUGACAUACAUGGAAACACAUUUAUUUUAGUUUUAAUUUAAUAUUCUUAUGAAAUGAUUCAUGUAUGGUUUUAAAGUUGAGAAUGCUACAUGAAUGAUUUGAAAUUUUUCAUCAAAGUGUUAUUUGCUUUAAAUAAUUUAAACUCAUUAGUAUUUAUGCUUCUAAAAGCCACAUGAUUUGAAAUAGCACUUAUUGAAUAUUUUGAGUCUUAAAUCUUCAUUUGACAAUGCUUUGAUAAUUUGAGGAGAAGAUUUUACAUUUAAAUCUAUCUAAUGAGUUGGAUUGGUUAUUAACGUCAUGAUUUGAUAUAAGUAGAUCUUUUAAGGCUACUAGGCCAUAAAUUUAUUUGUUUCAUAUUUAAAUAUUUUGAGAGUUACUUGUGUUCACCGAGAUUGACUUCGGCUAAAACUCGCCGACGCCAUGAAGCUACACCCGUCGAUGUAUGUGUAGAUUCUACCUAAUGGUAAAGGGCUACGACAGAGUGCCCGCAUGAGAGGUUACUAGUAUUGUGCUAUAAUAGCAUAGCUGAGUCAAUUCAUGUGGCACUUCGAUGAGAUGACCUGAGCAAGUAGGUUAUAUAAUACUUGUCGCUAUGUUGAUAACAUAUUUGAGCUUGGAUCUUGUGUCGGCGUUGAUAUAGUACUCCUAGUGGAAAGUAUGGAAGAUUUGAAUACAUUUAGACCUAAGGAGCCGAAAGCGACUAUUAUGAUUUUAUUCAAUUGGAAUGGGAUUGUAUAAUUUUAUACAAAUUAUUUUGUGAAUGGACCAGGAGGUCACAGGUUCAAGCCUUCCAACAGCCUCAGGAAGAAAUGCAAUGUAAGUCUACGUACAAUAAACCCUUGUGAUGGGGCCCUUCCCCGAACCCUGCGCAUAGCAGGAGCUUUAGUGCACCGGGAUGCCCUUUUUAAUUUUAUUUUUUGAAUGGAAUUAACAAGUUUAUAAGGUUGAGUUGAAAUAAAUUUACACUAGAUCCGCCAUCGCAAAAGUAAAAUAUGUUGUUAUUAUAUUAACAUUUUGUUUUAUAUCAAAUAAUACUUGAUUUGUUUCAAUUAUCGAUUCAACUUUUGGAAUCGCCUGCACAACUCUCCCCUGUGGGUCGAGCCUCCUCUUCAAUUGAUUCCACCUCUUUGCCAACUUUUAGUGAGAAGGUCAAUGAUACUAAUUGAGUACUGUGAUAGGUGUACUCAUCCCUUUUUAGGGCCCUCUAUUUUCCAUAUUUAAGAAUAAGGCAUGAUACGUGAUGAGUGAACAGGGCUGAAGUGAGAUGAUUCAAGAGUCAAUGAUACUUGUGGUAGCUAGUAUGUCCCUUCUUCUUUUCUUUAGUCGAAAAUCUAGCCAAGAGUUUAAUUUUAUUCCGUUGUUUAGAGGUUCCAUAGAUGGUUGUGUUGUGUCGUAAUAAUGGGAGUGACUAUGACAUACAAGGAAACACAUUUAUUUUAUUUUUUAUUUUAUUAUCUUUAUGAAAUGAUUAAUGUAUGGUUUUAAUGUUGAUAACGUUUCAUGAUUGAUUUGAAAAUGUAUAAAAGCUUCAAAUCACUUCCGUGAUGGUUCAAAUGCAUAUGGUCGGGGUGCACCAUACGAGUUUGGUUUGCUCAGAUGGCGAUCACGUGGAUUUAAGGAAGGGCCCAGCAGAGAGAAGUCGGGAUAAUGAAUGCUCCGCACGCCAAUAGGAGCAGCAAGCAAGUGCUUGGUAAGGCAACAACCUAGUGAACCGGGCGGAACACUCGAAGAUGGGGGGCACACUGCACAAGUCCAUGAAAUUAGCCAACACUGCUUUCUUAUAAGCAAGGACUACAACAGUUCAAACCAAAGAUCCAAGCCCCUUUUGGCUCUCUCUAUUGAUAGAUAAAGGGCACUUAUGUUGUCGUUCCAGUUACUCAUACGGCUUUCCCUCGUCUCAAGUCUUUAAUUCUUGAGAAUGGUUGCCACUUCUACCAGUAUCAGAAUUAUUAUCCCUAGCCGGUGGGUCUACACCCAUCCCUUGAAUGUCGUCGGGUACUAUUAACUUCCCCGCCAAAGCUCGAACGAAACGUCAAUGCCGCUAAGCCUUAUGAACCCUAACCGUUCAAAGCACUUCUUUGCCAUCCGAAGUUUCUUUUGUCUACAUCCACUUCAAGGAACAUAUAGGGAAUCGACCCUCACCAAGUUUCAGAUUUUAUCUAAUCCUUUUCUUUACUUUUAUGCCCUUAUCUUGUGGUACUAUCAAAGCCCUUAAUUUCCCUUUCCAGAUUUACAAUCCACAACAUUUUUCUUGAUUUCAGCCACUCAUUCAUAACAGAACAUCAAAUAGCCACAAAGAACAAAACAACACAAGUAACGCAAAACAUCAAAAAACUAGUUAGCAUCUUCUUUUCUCCAAUCCAAACCAACAAAAAAAACCAUAAAACUAAUAAAUAAACCAGUAAACCAUUUAAAAAAGAAAAAAGCCAAUGCAGUAGAAUUCAGCAAGCAAAUUCAUCUGUCUGCUUUUCUGCAACAUACAGACAUAAAACAACUUCCAUAUCAAUAUAUACAACAAACAGUACACCAACAUGUAAUCAAUCCAUACUCAUGAAUAAUAAACAUAAAAAAUCAAACUAUCGAAUAAACCCUUGUGGUUCUGCCCUUCCUUAAGCCCUUUAUCAAAAUCGAGCAGAAAACAGAGUAAACAAAGACUUUAUAAAGUAAUGCCAUAUAUACCUGACAAAGAUUAGGUCCAGAAGCCCACGAAACCCUCUUCGGUUUCGCCGAACCCAUGAAGAAAUCCCUUACUCAGACACCACUCAAUUCAACAAAGCUCAAAAAUCCUUCAUAACAAGACGAACUUUCUUUCCCUUUCGCUUUCGCCUUCUGAUUAUCUGUUUGCUUACACAACUCUGAAAGAUUUCUGAAAAAGUUGAGAGCGCAGAAAUUUGAAAAAAAACCCUAAAAUCGUUUCGUUUCUGUAAAAAGAGCAGUUGAAGAGGUAGAGAGGGAGGCGGGGGGAGAGUGAUAUAUUCUUUAUGUUUUUAUUUUUGGCUGCGGCUGGGAAAAUCGCUACACGUCUUUUCCUAUUUGCGGCUUAACACCUCAUUACGAUGUCGUUUUUGUACUUUUUAAGAAGUCGUAUUAAUUAAGACUCCACCUUUUUCUAUUUGGAUUUUGGAGUGCAUUACUAUGGGUAGUGUCAGGGACGUCAUGCAAAAAUCGAAUCGAUCGAUAAAUCAAAUUGAUAAAAAAUAUUAUUG